rnacentral:misc_RNA from 1 species
ACUGUCAGGUUUCUAGGCUACAGCUAUCCUGGUCAUUCUCCCAUUCACCUAUGUGAACGAUAGAAUUAGUAAUGUCUGACAGUACAACUUUCCUACCAUAGGUUAUACAAGAAACUUGAGUUUCUUGAAUCUUGCUUUGAAACCAAACGUUCUAAUCCAGACAAAAUAAAGAAAUUAUUGGUGCAUAUAUCUCUCUCUCACAAUUCAUG